rnacentral:ncRNA from 2 species
CGCGGGAGACCGGGGUUCGAUUCCCCGUCG